GUGGGGAAUAUUGCACAAUGGGCGCAAGCCUGAUGCAGCCAUGCCGCGUGUGUGAAGAAGGCCUUCGGGUUGUAAAGCACUUUCAGCGGGGAGGAAGGCGAUAAGGUUAAUAACCUUGUCGAUUGACGUUACCCGCAGAAGAAGCACCGGCUAACUCCGUGCCAGCAGCCGCGGUAAUACGGAGGGUGUAAGCGUUAAUCGGAAUUACUGGGCGUAAAGCGCACGCAGGCGGUCUGUCAAGUCGGAUGUGAAAUCCCCGGGCUCAACCUGGGAACUGCAUUCGAAACUGGCAGGCUAGAGUCUUGUAGAGGGGGGUAGAAUUCCAGGUGUAGCGGUGAAAUGCGUAGAGAUCUGGAGGAAUACCGGUGGCGAAGGCGGCCCCCUGGACAAAGACUGACGCUCAGGUGCGAAAGCGUGGGGAGCAAACAGGAUUAGAUACCCCUGUAGUCC
rnacentral:rRNA from 1 species